rnacentral:rRNA from 1 species
GUCCGCACAGUAAACGAUGAUAACUAACUGUCGGCGAUACACAGUCGGUGGUAAAGAGAAAUCGAUAAGUUAUCCACCUGGGGAGUACGACCGCAAGGUUGAAACUCAAAGGAAUUGACGGGGGCCCGCACAAGCGGAGGAACAUGUGGUUUAAUUCGAUGAUACGCGAGGAACCUUACCCGGGCUCGAACGGCUAUGGAAUUACAUAGAGAUAUGUAAGUCUGCAAAGACUGUAGUCGAGGUGCUGCAUGGUUGUCGU